AACGAACGCUGGCGGCAUGCCUAACACAUGCAAGUCGAACGAGACCUUCGGGUCUAGUGGCGCACGGGUGCGUAACCCGUUGGGACCUGCCCUUAAGUUUGGAAUAACUCCCCGAAAGGGGUGCUAAUACCGGAUAAAUUCCUCCGUCCAAAGAUUUAUCGCCUUUGGAUGGGCCCGCGUUGGAUUUGCUAGUUGGUAGGGUAAAAGCCUACCAAGGCGACGAUCCAUAGCUGGUCUGAGAGGAUGAUCAGCCACACUGGGACUGAGACACGGCCCAGACUCCUACGGGAGGCAGCAGUGGGGAAUAUUGGACAAUGGGCGAAAGCCUGAUCCAGCAAUGCCGCGUGAGUGAUGAAGGCCUUAGGGUUGUAAAGCUCUUUUACCCGGGAUGAUAAUGACAGUACCGGGAGAAUAAGCUCCGGCUAACUCCGUG
rnacentral:rRNA from 1 species